ACGUGGCUGCUGCUCGAUGUCCUGCCUGUUCUGUUUCUGUGUCCUGGUCCGUUUCGGUCCUGGUGCUGCAUCCUCUUCCCUCAGUUUCUCCCUGGCCCAGCUGUUCUCUGAGUUCUGAUCUGUUCACUCCACCGCAUGCACACCAUGCCCCAGGAAUGCCCGGUUUCAGAGGAUUGCCAGGCUAUGGCCAUGAAGCUUGCUUUCGGACUGGGCUGGGAGGGGACCCUGAACUUGACACUUGGUAGCCAUGCAACCUGGAACAAGCUGCUCCCUCUUUCCCAGUCUUGGGUUCCACGUCUCUAAAUACGUGCUUUAUGGGAUUGCUUGUUCAUCCAACAAACGUGCUUAAUAAUGUCUGCAUUUAUUGAGCGCUUUUUAUUUGCAUUGAAUGCAUUUGUUAUGCUAAGAACUGCACUUACCUCAUCUCACUUUAUCUUUAUGACAACCCCAUGACACAGGAUUCUUAUUCCCAAGUUGUUGGCAAAGCCACUGAGGGGAAGAGGAUGGAGGACCCUGUCCAGGGUCACACACGUGACGGAGCAGGAAGGAGAACACAGGUGUGUCUGACACCGAAGUUGCCCUCUUCACCACUUCAUUAUUUGGAAAAUGGAUCCUUCCUCUCACGCCUGCGAUUUCUAGCCAGUGGAAAGUCGAUAGGCUGCUCACUGACCACAGCGGCGCCCCAGCUUUCUCCCCUGAGUCUAAACACCACGAACGGAGCGCAGAGGGAGGCUCUGUUCUCAGGCUCACGUGCGGAUAUCUUCUUGGUAGAAUGAAAACAGCCCUGGUUAUGUCAGGGAAUGCUUUAAACUUCCUAUCUCCAGCUCUGUCCAACAUUUCCAGUUUCGUCUUCUCUGUCUCCAAACAGGAAAGAUUCCACUAUACCGCUGGUCUCUACCCAGAUCCAGUCUGUGCCCACUGUGAGGAUGAUGUUAUUCCAAGUGAGAUGUUACCUUGGCAACCAACUUACCAACUCACUCAAUUAACCAGCUUCCUCUCUGUAAUCAAUACUCAUUAGCGCUGAAUCACUUCUUCACUUUGCCUUGCAAUUUUAACCACUCAUCCGGGUCAAUCUGUUUUUUAAUGGUGACAGUCAUCUCUCCUUUGGAAUAUGGAAACUCACUUGAACCCAACAGAACUCCUCUCCCUGGGGCCUCUGAGGAGGCUGUCAUCCCAACUCACGCUCACCCAAGGAAGUACCAGCUGGUGAUCUUGGUGGCGUUGGCAGCGGAACCUCCCCAGUGGCUUCCAGCAAGUCACUGGGGCCUUGCCCAAAAUGGAGCUGACGAGGAGGAAGGUGGCACCUGCCAUUCGAAACCACAGAGACGGCUUCUAUGCACCCAAGAGACUCCUUGGAGGCUCCAAGGGAGAAAUACUACCAUGUGAUGGUUAAUUGUAGACUGACGUGAUUUGAGAACAGAGAGAAAAAAAUGUAUUAUUAAAAACCAAAACAGUCUAUUCCACUUCCCACUCUGCUUCUAAGACAGGGGAUGGGGGGGUGGUGGUGUAAUUCAUGUCUCAGGGAGAUAAAAUUCUACACAACUUCCUUUGCUGCACAGAGCCCAGUGGGAGAUGAGGGGGACAAUGGGUAUUCCGGAGGCUUUGCAGGUUUUCUGGAGCUGCAGCUUCACAGGGGACCCGGAGUGGGUGGCCUUUGGUGGAGCAGGAAUAUUUUGUGGGUCUCCAGAGGCUGAUAAGAGAGGAGAGGGGGGUUGAGUUCUAAGGAAGCGGAGCCCUGAACGUGGGGAAGGCGGGCUGAGCACUAGGGCGGUGUAAAGACUUCUUGUGGCCCUAAACUUCAUGAGAGUCAGCUAUGUACACACGUGUCCUGGGUAAGCGGUGUUGGAGAUAGAUUUAGGGAGCAGGAAAAGAGGCCUAUUCCACCAUUGGAACGUGAUGCAGACAGCAAUAGCACUGCUGGCUGGCAAGAUGACCCACAAAAGGAAACAAUUAAUUAAUGAAAAGCAUUGUCCUAGGCACUGGAAAUUCAUUAGAAAUUGAAGCAGAAAGAUCCCUGCUCUCAAGGACUUGAGUUCUAGAGGCAGAGGCAGAAAACAGGGCCAGGAAACAAAUGAAUAAGCACUUCAGGUAUGCUGAGUGCUGUGAAGAUAAUGACUCAGAGAGAACCUGGUAGGUGGCCCCCUUAGAUGGUGCGGGUCAGGGGGCCUCUCCCGGGAGCUGACGUUUGAUUUGAGCUGAGAGCUGAAGGAUGAGGAGCAGCCAGCUCACGAGAAGCCCGCCCGGAAAGAGUGCUCCAGAAAGAGCAACCCCCAACUGUCCUGGCCACGCAUUCAUUUUCUCCACCAGAAAUGAAUGCUCUCUACUCUGAGUGCCUUUGCAUCGACUCCAGGCUCUCUCAGGGGCCUUUUGUUUUCUUUUUUUUUGAGAUAGAGUCUUGCUUUGUUGCCCAGGCUGGAGCGCAGUUGUGGGAUCUUGGCUCAUUGCAACCUCCACCUCCCAGAAGUGAUUCUCCUUCUGAUACAGACCCUGUUUCCAGCCCUUAAAAACACUCACCUUCAUUGGUAAUAAUAAUAAUAAUAAUAAUAAAACCAGCACACUAUGCAAUACCAUUUUCCUCUUGUACAUUUAGAGGAUUAAAAAAAGUAACUGGUGAGGAUCUAGUGAAACAUCUCUCUUAUACGCUGCAGGUGGAACUGUGAAUUGGGAACCGCUCUGAAAGCAACUGGAAAAUAUUUAUCAAAGGCCAUAAAAAUGUUCCUAUUUCUGGAACCGGUAAUCUUAUUUGGGAAUCUGUCCUAGGGGAAUAAUAUAAACUAUGGAAAAAUCUGUGCACAAA